AUACGUAGGGGGCGAGCGUUGUCCGGAAUUACUGGGCGUAAAGGGUGUGUAGGAGGCUUUUUAAGUUGGAUGUGAAAUACUCGAGCUUAACUUGGGUGCUGCAUUCAAUACUGGGUAGCUAGAGUGCAGGAGAGGGAAGUAGAAUUCCUAGUGUAGCGGUGAAAUGCGUAGAGAUUAGGAGGAACACCAGUGGCGAAGGCGGCUUUCUGGACUGUAACUGACACUGAGGCACGAAAGCGUGGGGAGCAAACCGGAUUAGAUUCCCUGGUAGUCCACGCGGUAAACGAUGAAUACUAGGUGUAGGGGGUAGCAACUCCCCCUGUGCCGCCGCUAACGCAAUAAGUAUUCCGCCUGGGGAGUACGGCCGCAAGAUUGA
rnacentral:rRNA from 1 species